rnacentral:lncRNA from 1 species
CAGGCGGUGGCGGCGGUGGCGACGGCCGCACGGCUGCGGCCUCCCUCGGAGAAGCUCCGGUCGCGAGGAUGAAGGGCGGGGCCGCCUCCCGCCUUCAGGAAGCCAUGCAGCAAGUUCUGUCACUGACUCCUGGAGAAAGAAAGAGCCACAUAAUACAGACUUGCUGUGCUGUGGUCCAUGCCUUCCUUGGCCUUCCCUGGCCUGACAAGAAUGGGAGAAGCCUCAGGAUGCUGUAGAAUGCUGGAAGGUUUCAGACACUGACUUGGAUGGACACAUUUGUCCAAAACCUGAAUUCCUUAUUACCACUCCAGGUACACAGUCAGAUACUCCCUCAGGGCAGUUGUAGGUGCAGCUAACUCCAGGCCUGUUCGGAUGGUGCUUCUGGUUCCUUCCAUUGCCAGGCCAUCAUAAUACGGGAGUGGGAGGUGCCCUUUGCAGACAGCCAACUGCCGAUUCCAUGGUUUUUCUUCCCUGUCCUGUUUUGUCCCCACUUUUCAGAAGCCAGUUUUUCUUAUGUACCUUUUUAACUCAAGUCUGUAUUUUACUAAAAGACUGUGAAACCUACUUAUAAUUUUAUUUUAC